rnacentral:rRNA from 1 species
GAAUUGUUCACAAUGGGCGCAAGCCUGAUGACGCAACGCCGCGUGGAGGAUGAAGGUCUUCGGAUUGUAAACUCCUGUUGCCCGGGACGAACGGCUCCAACCUAACACGUUGGAGUGUGACGGUACCGGGUGAGGAAGCCCCGGCUCACUCUGUGCCAGCAGCCGCGGUAAUACAGAGGGGGCAAGCGUUGUUCGGAAUUACUGGGCGUAAAGGGCGCGUAGGCGGCCCGCUAAGUCGAACGUGAAAUCCCCCGAGCUCAACUCGGGAACUGCGUCCGAUACUGGCGGGCUUGAAUCCGGGAGAGGGAUGCGGAAUUCCAGGUGUAGCGGUGAAAUGCGUAGAUAUCUGGAGGAACACCGGUGGCGAAGGCGGCAUCCUGGACCGGCAUUGACGCUGAGGCGCGAAAGCUAGGGGAGCAAAC